CCUUAGUUCAGCACUUCUGAAAGCCUACAGCUUUCCCAAGGAGCAGCAGAAAAAGAACAGCCCCAUCCUGGCGCUGUUACAGCCCAGUGACAGUCACAGGAUCAAGGACCCGCUGCGGGGGACGAAAACACAACACAGCCCAGUUAACACAGACCCAGAAACGGGCUGGAUACGCGCGUCUGUCCCCAGGAGAGUCUGAGGCUGCUUCACCGCCAGGCUGAGCAACGCAGCGCAGGAGAAACGGAGGGAAGGAGCCAGCAGCCAAAGCUGCCUGUGAACCGCUGUCUGCAGGAGACACCAGCACCCCCUGAGACAGCCGAAAGCGCCCGUCCCAGCCCGUAAGGCACACAGACAGCCCUGCCCGCCAGGGAUGCUCAACUCUGAACACAGCAGCACUCUCUUAGGCACAGAAGUGCAGCCUAAAACGGGAACAGCAAGGAGCGAGUGACCGGUUAAUUAACUACUCUGGCCGCAUCUGAGGGAAAUAAACACGCGCAGGGGAGCAGCACCAUCCGGACCUGCAGCUCCUGGGAACUGAAGGCCAAUGAUCCAAAUGAAGGCUUGAAAACAUCCCACAUUUUAUUAAUCCAGUGCUCUGUGUUGGCUGCAGGCCUUUUCACAGCCGUGCACCGUGAAGCAGAACAUCCCCAGACUCCCAGAGCCUUCUCCACAACAAGUACACAGACUGGUGAGAGCAGCACAGGUCACUCAUUCCAUACAGACACGUGCUCCUAGCCUGAUACACCGACAGCUCUGGGCGUCUGAGCCCAGCAGCUCAGUGAGUAACUGCAGAGCAGGAGACCUGUAGAAAAAAUUGUCUUAAAUCAAUAAGGUACAAUGUGCUCUGCAGAAAAAUAAAAAUAAUAAUGUAAUUUUAUCUAAGUGCUCG
rnacentral:lncRNA from 1 species